rnacentral:misc_RNA from 1 species
UGCCAAGAUGGCUGCACUGGCCGGUAUUGCGUAUAAAAUAAUCAGAAGAAAUAUGAGAAUCAAUGGAAACUUAGCUGUCAAAUGAACAAAGAAAACCAACGACUUACGAAUGGAUAACUGAAAUCUCUCAGCAUUGAAGUAUCUAAUGUUAAGGCGACCAUCACCAUGGCCAGAAGCUGGCUGUUCUGGAGGAUGAGAACAUGGAACUCGCCUGUUGCUCAUAUGGGUGGCUUGAUUUCUGUUUGAAGAACAAACAGGCUGGUGAUCACCAUGAAAGGAGAAAUAGGACUUUGGCCUAUCACCAUUCAUGCUUUCAACCAUCCAGAGUAGAAAGUAGUUCUUCCGAGGAAACCUAAGAUGUCCAUUGUGUACCAAUCUAAAAGAUAAUAGAUUACACCAAGGACAAGAAAUGAAGCAUGGAAGCUGGAUUGGGAGGGUAGGAAGUUUCACCAUAGCCCUUUGCAGCCCUAGCACACAAUUCUUACAGAGGGUGUGGCCACACCACAAAACAUAGGGCACGUUUUCAACAAUGUUGAAAGAUUCCCAGCAUAUGGGGCAUUCCAGUCCCUCUUCUCUGCUACUGUUUAAAGAUGGUUCAUCAUCUGAGCAUUCUGAAGGAGCUUGACUGGGCUUUGAAAGAUCAUUCUUCAACCUGACGGAUCUAUUAAUGGCUUUAGAAGCAAAACCCCACAUGGUGAAUGUGAAACAAUACGAUUUAGAAAAAGGUCUAAGGACGCUAAGCCAGGGAGGUAGAGGUUUGCGUCUCUCGCUAUCUCGAUGACAGGCAAAAAUAAAUAAAUAAAUAAAUAAAAAGAGGUCG